GUUCCUAUCGUCUAGAGGCCUAGGACACCAGGUUUUCAUCCUGGUAACACGGGUUCGAAUCCCGUUGGGAAUGCCA
rnacentral:tRNA from 1 species